AGACAAGAAGACAGUGAUUCUGAUUCUGAUGACGAUAGCGAAGAUGAAAAUUUAUCGUCUCAAGGUUCAACUACAUUUCAUACGAAGCCUCUGUUUAAAAACGAUCAUAUUGGACCUUGGCUGAAAGCAUCAAAGGGAAAGAAAAAUGGGCGCAUUCUGGGAUUUAGAGUUGGUGAUGACUCUAUGUUAGCAAAUAAGAGGAGAAAGAAAAUGAGCAAUGAGGAAACUGAGAUGCAGAACACUGAAAAAUUUGAAUUGGCAGUUUCCAAAGCCGUUGAAAAACGAAUGGAAGCGUUAGAAAUAGAAAACGAAAAACGAUUUAAAAUGCUGGAACAACGGUUAAUUGACAAUAUAAAUGUGAGUUUAAUAAAUGUUUUUAAAUUAGUUUUUAAAUUUAUUAAUUUUUUGAAUAUCUUCAUUUAUUUUCAGGCUAAUGUUACAAGCAACGACCCGAAUCGUCCAUCAUCGAGUAAUGUUCCUGUUUCUUCUCAGUUGAACCAAAUUCUUCCAUUAUCGAGAAAUUAUUGGGAAGAAGAUACUAAUUUGAAUUCGACACCUCGACCAAAAGGUAAGACUUUAGAUAUUUCCAAUAUUGUUCAACAAAAAAAAUUGUAAAACACUUACCUCUAUUGUAAUUGAAACACUUAACAUGUAUCUACAUUUGUUGUAAUGUGACGAUUCAGCGACAUGUAUUCACUUUUUCUAGUUGUAAUGUGUAUACAUUUGUUGUAAUUG
rnacentral:lncRNA from 1 species